CCCUCUCUGCCUCUCAUUUCGAUUCAAACCCAGAAAUCUCCGCCUCUCCGCCCUCUCGACCUCUCUCUGCCUCUCGAUUCGAAUCAAACCCAGAAAAUCUCCGCUUUAUUUGAGCACUGCUCAUCAUUGAUGGCAAGAAACUGAUGAUGAACUGAUGAUGUAUAAGCACAGCAACUCAGCAAGGCAGCAAGCAAAUAUGAAGUGAUGAACUGAUGAUGAGAUCACUUUGAGUCCUUGAACACUUUGUUUUAUCCUAUUGCACCUAGUUAUUGUAUUUUGUAUCAUUUGAAAUUUUGAUUCAUUUGUGUGAAGUGUGAACUGUGAACUAUGAAUUAUUGACUUAAUAUUUGUAUGAA